UCAGAGGUCUGGAGGAAGGCAGGUGCCUCCUUCAUGCUCCAGUCUUUUUCUUUCCUCUUGCUUCUCCAAGACCAGCUGGGAAGCAGGAAGAAGUCUCUCUCCAAACAGACUCUCACCCUGGGCUCCAGCCCAAGUUUCCUGGGGCGCCAGCUUUUACCUCAAAUGAGGCUUUUGAUUAAAACCAACUGUUUAGCACCAAAUGGGCUCUCCAAGGAUUUAGCCCACUGCGAUCAAGGCACCUGGUAGAAGCCUGGAGUUUGGGGUUUACUGAGGUCUCUCACUGAACCUGGAGCUACACUGGCCGCCAGCAAGUCCCUAAGAGCCUCCUGUCUCUGUCUUCUACAGCACCGGGUUUACAGGAUGAGUCUGCUGAGGCGGAUAUGGCGGAACACCACUUAGAUCUUCCUUCCAAGAGAACAUGCUGGAAAGCUGGAGGCGGGAGCUGGCUGGCAGCCUGGGCUUCAGCGCCUUCAGCAUCUGUUGCAGUGUGGGAGCCUCAACCCUCUCUUCAGGCAGCUCCACGAUAGGGCUUCUCUGGAAAUACUGGAGCAAGACAGUCUGGUGGCUUCUCCCCAGCGCGGUUCCUCCUCAGGGCUGCUCGCUUGUCUCACGCAGCACCAUGGGCUGAGGCUCGCUUGCCAGGGGUACACUCUGACACCAGAAACCUUUUCUCUUCCUCCACCAGCACCUUUCUCCUCUUCUAUGGGCUCUGCCUAGCACACAUCUCUGCCACGUAUCUGCCUCUGCCAUGCUUCCCCAAAGACUAAAAGCAUCUGCCAGUUAGCUAAGACAGGACCCAGAAGGUCACCUGCAGGCCCAAGAUGUGGAGGUGUUUCCACAGGGUGUGGAAAGAGGUGCUAUCUAAAGUGAGGGAGGACACAGGUGGGGGAAGGAGGGAGAGACAGAGGACAGACAGAUGGACAGACAGACAGACAGACAC